rnacentral:tRNA from 1 species
GGUUUGUAGCUCAGUGGUAGAGCGCUUGCCUAGCACGUGUGAGGCAUUGGGUUGGAUCCCCAGCACCA